rnacentral:lncRNA from 1 species
GUUAAAUGUAUUUUAGGCUCCUCAUGGACCUCAAACCAACACUUGUUUUGAAGUAGAAGAAAUAAUAGAGGAAGCUACCCCUAGAGCUAUUUCUCAGGAUCCAAUACAUACACUUUGGGAUUCUUUUAGAGUGGAUGAUUUUGAUCUAGAUGGAUAUAUUGAAAAUGUGAAUAUAUUAUUAGAGCCAUCUGAUUUUAGCACCACUUCCCUAUAGGCUG